AGUAGUCAUAUGCUUGUCUCAAAGAUUAAGCCAUGCAUGUCUCAGUGCAAGCCACAUUAAGGUGAAACCGCGAAUGGCUCAUUAAAUCAGUUAUGGUUCCUUGGAUCCUACCAAUCCUACUUGGAUAACUGUGGUAAUUCUAGAGCUAAUACAUGCACCCAGAGCUCCGUCCAGAAAUGGCCGGGGCGCAGUUAUUAGAUCAAAACCAAUCGGUCGGGCUCGCCCGUCCGUCGUUUUGGUGACUCUGAAUAACCACCGCUGAUCGCACGGCCUCGCGCCGGCGACGUAUCCUUCGAAUGUCUGCCUUAUCAACUGUCGAUGGUAGGUUCUGCGCCUACCAUGGUUGUAACGGGUAACGGGGAAUCAGGGUUCGAUUCCGGAGAGGGAGCCUGAGAAACGGCUACCACAUCCAAGGAAGGCAGCAGGCGCGCAAAUUACCCACUCCCGGCACGGGGAGGUAGUGACGAAAAAUAACGAUACGGGACUCAUCCGAGGCCCCGUAAUCGGAAUGAGAACACUUUAAAUCUUUUAACGAGUACCUAAUGGAGGGCAAGUCUGGUGCCAGCAGCCGCGGUAAUUCCAGCUCCAUUGGCGUAUAU
rnacentral:rRNA from 1 species